CGGCAUAAAUCGCAAAAAGGUCAAAUCGAGGUGAACCACCGUCAUGGACAAUAGAGUCGGUGCGAGAGCGGCAAUGCUGUGCCAGAAUCCUAAAAUUGGUCGGAAAAAUUUUAAAACGUUUAUUUUAGCAUUUUGGAAUAUUUUUAAAUACGUGACGAGUAUUUUAAUUUUCGCAGAAAAAAUUUAAGAAACCCGGAGACCGUCAGGAGGUGCAGUGAAAAGUACGUUGUUUCGGAUACUGAUCUGAGGUCACUAGUGGAGACGGAACCGGUCAGUGCGUAUUUGUCCUAGUUUAUUGUUUAUUUUUUCCUAUACUGCCUAAUGUGUUUACUGUUAUAUUGUGUGUUUUGAAUUACUAGUUUUAGAUUGCUUUCCUGAUUAUUUAGUUUACUUAACUGUAUUGCCCUCAUCUGUUGUUUUGUUCCUAAUAAAUGUUCUAAUAAUGAUUUCUUGAUUUA